AUAUAGAACGAACCAUCAGGGAUGUGGCGAGUAUAGACUCCAGUAGCACUAAGCGCUAACAUGGUAGUCUCAUCGAUUCGGUUAGUGUU
rnacentral:sRNA from 1 species